UACGAAGGGGCUAGCGUUGCUCGGAAUCACUGGGCGUAAAGGGUGCGUAGGCGGGUCUUUAAGUCAGGGGUGAAAUCCUGGAGCUCAACUCCAGAACUGCCUUUGAUACUGAGGAUCUUGAGUUCGGGAGAGGUGAGUGGAACUGCGAGUGUAGAGGUGAAAUUCGUAGAUAUUCGCAAGAACACCAGUGGCGAAGGCGGCUCACUGGCCCGAUACUGACGCUGAGGCACGGAAAGCGUGGGAGCAACA
rnacentral:rRNA from 1 species